UACGGGGGGGGUAAGCGUUGUUCGGAAUUACUGGGCGUAAAGGGCUCGUAGGCGGCCAACUAAGUCGGACGUGAAAUCCCUCAGCUUAACUGGGGAACUGCGUCUGAUACUGGAUGGCUUGGAUUUGGGAGAGGGAUGCGGAAUUCCAGGUGUAGCGGUGAAAUGCGUAGAUAUCUGGAGGAACACCGGUGGCGAAGGCGGCAUCCUGGACCAACAUUGACGCUGAGGAGCGAAAGCCAGGGGAGCGAACGGG
rnacentral:rRNA from 1 species